rnacentral:snRNA from 1 species
GCGCUCGCUUCAGCAGCACACAUACUAAAACUGGUACCAUACAGAGAAGAUGAGUGUGGACCCCGCCCGAGGAUGGCGGGGAUGUUCCUGAAGCGUUCCAUAUUUUU